rnacentral:rRNA from 1 species
CUACUCUUGACAUCCAGAGAACUUAGCAGAGAUGCUUUGGUGCCUUCGGGAACUCUGAGACAGGUGCUGCAUGGCUGUCGUCAGCUCGUGUUGUGAAAUGUUGGGUUAAGUCCCGCAACGAGCGCAACCCUUAUCCUUUGUUGCCAGCGGUCCGGCCGGGAACUCAAAGGAGACUGCCAGUGAUAAACUGGAGGAAGGUGGGGAUGACGUCAAGUCAUCAUGGCCCUUACGAGUAGGGCUACACACGUGCUACAAUGGCAUAUACAAAGAGAAGCGACCUCGCGAGAGCAAGCGGACCUCAUAAAGUAUGUCGUAGUCCGGAUUGGAGUCUGCAACUCGA